rnacentral:rRNA from 1 species
UAGUCCACGCCGUAAACGAUGAGUACUAGGUGUUGGAGGUAUUGACCCCUUCAGUGCCGCAGCUAACGCAUUAAGUACUCCGCCUGAGAACUACGGCCGCAAGGCUGGAACUCAAAGGAAUUGACGGGGGCCCGCACAAGCGGUGGAGCAUGUUGUUUAAUUCGAGGCAACGCGAAGAACCUUACCCAGAUUUAACUAUCCCGGCCAACCUGUGAAAGCAGGCUUUCCCGCAAGGGACCGGUGAAUAGGUGCUGCAUGGCUGUCGUCAGCUCGUGUCGUGAGAUGUUGGGUUAAGUCCCGCAACGAGCGCAACCCUUAUCUUUAGUUGCCAUCAGGUAAUGCUGGGAACUCUAAAGAGACUGCCCGGGACAACCGGGAGGAAGGUGGGGAUGACGUCAAGUCCUCAUGGCCCUUAUGUCUGGGGCUACAAACGUGCUACAAUGGCCGGUACAGCGGGCUGCGAAACAGCGAUGUUUAGCCAAUCCCAAAAGCCGGUCUCAGUUCGGAUAGCAGGCUGCAA